ACAUUUCCAUCUUUAUUUCCUUUAUAUACAUUUUUAUUUUAUAUAAGAUUUUACAUUCCCCAGUAGAUUGGACGAGAAUUUGACUGGCUGGACGUGAGAGAGGUUGCUGGGUGUGUGAAUAAACAGAGUAGUAAUCGGAAGCCUCAGGAGUUGGGUCUUGAGUUCCUUACACUGUAGACUAGCACCUGACAAUGCCAGAUUCUUAUUUUACCAUUUAAAACUCAGUACCCCUGUCUAAUGUCAGGAAUGAGAGAGAUGACAUCACUGCAGAUCCUGCAGACACUCAGAGACUAGUAGUAAUAAUAUUAUGAACAGCUUCUUGCUAAUACAUUCCCCAGCUUAAGUGAAAUGGACAGAUACCCAGAAAAUUACAAAGGAACUAAGCUUACUCAGAGAUGAAAUGGCCAAUCGCAACAGCCCCCAGCCCCUUUUCUACCGGAACUUGGUAGCUCUGAGAGACAUGGGACUGACGCUCCGGUAACAACUGUCCCUCAGUGUCAUGCCAGCAGACAAGUCCCAUUCUUAUGCCACUGGCCUUCCCAGCCUAAGUUUCAGGCUCUAAAGAUUGCUGUCCUUUAUUCUGGGGGAAGUUUUUCCAGCUCAAACUACACCCUCACCCUCACCACCCUUUUUAAAGCACUGUUUUUGUAUUUUUAUUAGAAUUACAUGCAUUGUCUUUGGAAUCCGUGUUCUUUGUGUCUCUUCCACCAGCCUGCACUCAGACCAACUUGGAGAGAAAAAAAAAAUCUUAAAUGCUGUUGCUGAUGUAAAUUU
rnacentral:lncRNA from 1 species